rnacentral:rRNA from 1 species
UACGUAGGGUGCAAGCGUUGCCCGGAUUUAUUGGGCGUAAAGCGCGUGUAGGUGGUUUGGUGUGCUCCGCGUGAAAUCUCCCGGCUCAACCGGGAGAGGUCGCGGAUGACUACCGAACUAGAGCCUGGGAGGGGAAAGUGGAAUUCCCGGUGUAGUGGUGGAAUGCGUAGAUAUCGGGAGGAACACCAGUGGCGAAGGCGACUUUCUGGACCAGAGCUGACACUGAGACGCGAAAGCGUGGGGAGCGAUCCGG